UCUUUAAAAAACAGAAUAAUAGAAUAUGGGUGGUGCAAAAAAUAUUUUUUGCACCACCCAUAUUCUAUUAUUCUGUUUUUUAAAGAAC